rnacentral:rRNA from 1 species
UACGGAGGGUGCGAGCGUUGUCCGGAAUCACUGGGCGUAAAGGGCGCGUAGGUGGCCGAGCAAGGUCGCGGUGAAAGCCCGGGGCUCAACCCCGGGUCGGCCGUGACAACUACUCGGCUCGAGCACUGUAGGGGCGGGUGGAAUUCCGGGUGUAGCGGUGGAAUGCGUAGAGAUCCGGAAGAACACCGGUGGUGUAGACGGCUUUCUGGACCGUAACUGACGCUGAGACACGAAAGCGUGGGUAGCAAACAGG